CACAACUUUUAAAACGUCAAGGACACGUCAAGGACUAAAACGCAAAUAGCCAUCAACACUGUUCAUCUUCUUCACCCGACCAAAAAAAAUGGAUGCCCAACGGGGCAUCGCCAUUACUCCUUCAAUAACAAUCACUUUAUUACCUGGUAAUGGUGGCAUUCUCUGGCUAUAAAGCCAGAGAAAGAAAGCAGAAGAGGUGGAGAGAGCAUACAGAAAAAAACAAACACAGGGGGAAGAAAAAAAACAGAGGGUGAGGAGAAACGAAAAAACGAGAAAAACCAGAGGGAGCUUCCAUUCAACCAGUAGGACAUCAUGCCUUUACUACCAUCAUCUUCGUCCUGAGCAGGAGGGAACCGAGAGAAAAAAAAACAAACCCAGAACACGAGGAACCAGGGUAGCAGACUUUCAUUCCCUUGUUUCUUCUCUAAGAAACAGAGGCCGUCCUCUGGCUUUAUAAAAGCCAGAGAAGGCCACGAAGAAACAAAACUAGGAGGGGGAAGACGAACGAGCAGGGGACAGACACAGACGAAGAAGGGGACCGAGAGAGAGUUGACUGAAAACACAAACAAGAAGCAGAGAGGAGACGAACAAACAGGAGAAAAAGAGAAGGAACAAGCGCGAGGAGAAGACAUAACGGAAGGGAAGACAGACGCAGGGAGUGGCAUCAUAGCUUCUUUCCAGAAUCCCAGUGACAAGCUCAGGAAGGACUUCACCCAGCGACGACAGUGAACCAGGUUAUUGCUACUUUAGGGAUCUAUGAUAUUGCCUUAGAGAUGAGAAAGAAAGUGAUAUGUCAAAGAGUGGGUUCCCUUGUUUGUCAUCUAAAUUUGCCAGAAUGAAUUAAAUAUGAUGCACGACUGUGGAUAGAAUUUUCCUAUUUAUUGACAUUUUGAAUCCUUAUAUCAUUCUUGUAUUCUAAUAGCCUUGUCUUGGUUGUGAUGUCCUUCACAUGAUAAUAGAACUAUUGUUAUAGAAGGCCUCAAGAAGUUUGAUGAUGAGCUUUCAUUCUGGAAAACUCAAAGAUGCAACUUAUAAUAAUAAACAGAAUUGUGUAAACUUGGACUAAAAAUAUGUCAGUGCAUCAUAUCUAGUUUUCUUUCCAUACUGUUCAUAAUAACAUAUAUAUCAAAUUGUUCAUGUGGGAGUUUUAGGGAUACCUGAGUUUAAAUAUUUGAGCUUGCAAUUUUUUUAUCAAUUUACUACACAGAUUUAUUUUUGACUAGGUGGUGAAAAUAUUCUUCUCACGAAUCACUGAACUUUGUUCUUAAGAUUCCUUAUGUGUCUUAUUUCUUCAUUAAUAUGGUCUUGUUGUAACUUGUGCUGAGAGUCGGAGUGCCUCCCUCUUUUUCAUUAGAAGUAGUGCACAAUACUGUUUCAAAGGACUGAAAAUUACUCAUAUAUAUAUAUAAACUUAUGAAAUUUUUUGAGUCAAAAGAAGGAUGAA